UACGAAGGGGGCUAGCGUUGUUCGGAUUUACUGGGCGUAAAGCGCACGUAGGCGGAUCGUUAAGUCGGGGGUGAAAUCCUGGAGCUCAACUCCAGAACUGCCUUCGAUACUGGCGAUCUUGAGUCCGGAAGAGGUGAGUGGAACUCCUAGUGUAGAGGUGGAAUUCGUAGAUAUUGGGAAGAACACCAGUGGCGAAGGCGGCUCACUGGCUCGUAUCUGACGCUCAGGCGCGAUAGCGUGGGGAGC
rnacentral:rRNA from 1 species